rnacentral:lncRNA from 1 species
CAAGAAAUACCUUAAAAAACAGGACACAGCUGUAAUGUUAAACUUUGUUCUUUCUCUAGGAAGAAAAUAAAAUGAAAUGCAUUAAGGGGAUGCAUGUGUGACUUCAGCGAACAAUUUCAGCAGAAAAACUUGCCUGAUAUUAGCCAACAAGACUGGAAAUUAAGAAGGAGGCAUCAUCCGGUUUCGGUGGCUCAUGCCUGUAAUCCCAGCACUUUGGGAAGCUGAGGUGGAUCACGAGGUCAGGAGAUCGAGACCAUUCUGGCUAACACGGUGAAACCCCGUUUCUACUAAAAAAACAAAAAAAUUAGCCAGGCGUGGUGGCGGGCGCCUGUAGUCCCAGCUACUCCGGAGACUGAGGCAGGAAAAUGGCGAGAACGCGGGAGGCGGAGCUUGCAGUGAGCCAAGAUGGCGCCACUCCACUCCAGCCUGGGUGAUCGAGCGAGACUCUGUAUCUAGAAAAAAGAAAAAAAAAAAGAAAAAAUGAAGAAGAAGGAGAAGGAAAAGGAGAAGACGACGACAUUGAGGCCAGGUGGCCUGGAGAGGAAGAGAAAUGGAGUUAUCACAAAAAGGAAUCUAUAGUACUUGAAAACAAGCAAGAUACAGCAAGACAGAGAAAGAUGAACCUAAGAAGAAUAAGACUUUUUUGUUUUUAGUUUGGAUGACGAAGCAAAUAAUGGAACCUGUGACAGGAAAAUUGGCCAGGAAACCUGAAAAUCUCUGUAGGUUUACUGACAUUAUCUAACACUCCAUGGAUCUCUGAACCAUUGAAUACAAGACUUUUCUCACUCUCCAUGGUGCUUAUAAAAGGUCUGUUUGGUGGAUAACAAAAGUCAAUCCAGUCCCUAACUGUAUAUCUAGUUGUCAUAAUUAUUAAUGUCCUUUUAUCUUUCGAGUUUUAGAGCUAUUUCUUAAGGUAUAUAUUACAUCCCAAUAUGCUCCAAAUGAUGAAAGUUUUAGUAAUUAUACCAAGCUAGAGAUCUCAGCAGCAACUGAUUCCUUGUUGCCAUCUGUUUUGUUUGUUUUUAAUUUUUUUUAAUAAAAAUAAUUUCAUUAAGGAAAAAAUGAAAAGUAACAGUUUAAAGAUUUUUUUAAAGAGGCGCAUGAAAAAUUAGGCUUAUCCAUUCUUUGACCUUUGUUUUGAUUUUACACAAAUGGUCUAAAACAUCAAAAUAAGCCUUAGUUGAGUUUAACUGAGUAGAAUAAGACAAUUAUAUUCUUUACAUAAAUCACAACAUAAUCAAUGAAUCUCUAUUUGACUAAACCAUGUAAAUAUAAUUUCAAGACUUAGCUUCUCUAUAUUCCAUGAAAUCAUGGAUAAGAACUUGUCAAGCUAAUUCUGAGUUCCCCAAAUGCAGACUUUAUAUUUUACUAUAAAAACAACUUCAGUAAUCAUACAGAAACAAAGCUCACAUUGUUAUAAUAAUUAACAAGGAACCAAUUUAUUUUUACUAUCCAAACAACUAAUUAUUUAGCCUUUAAGAUUUUUUUCUGUAUUAUCUCAUUACAGUAAAAAUGCAUUUGGUUCAGAAAUUAUAAAAACAAGACCUUAUCUUUCUUAAGUAUACAUAUCUACUUGAUUUCUUGUUGCCAUAUGAACAGUGACCGAAUUAGAGGUUUUCAAGUGUUAUGUCUGCUCACUGAGUUCUUUCCAAAGCAUUUAGGUGAAUGUAAUUUAAUCAGUGAGUGAACAUAGAGGGCAUAUGAGGUGAGGAAGUGAGGAAGUAAGACAAAAAAAGAUAAGAAGCUCAAUAAAGGAAGCAUUGACGAUGAGCAGGUAGGAACUGCAGCUAAAUUCUGAUAAGAGCCCUCUGAAUGACUAAAGAGAAUACAUUUCAGAAUUGUCUCAAUGAAGGAGAAAAAGUUGUGAUCACCUACCAGCUCCCAUCCGUCGUUUGUGGGAGGUUGCAUCUUUGCACUAAUAGCCCACCUCUACCCAGCCCCUCCAGACAGCUCUGGGACUCCCUGGGCAUUAUCUAGUGGAAGAAGAACACCCUCAGGCAGGAAGACGCAGGAAGCUAUUGCUGUGUGUAGGAACUGUCUACUGAAAACCUCCAGGUGAACUGGGCUAAUGUGUUCAGAGACCAACAAGAUCUCUUACAAACGUAUUUCAAUGGAUUUGUCUGGAGAAACCACAACGAGGAGUUUAACAUCUGAGUAGUGACUGAUCCACAGAAACACACUGUAAGAACAAUAAAAUAAUUUCGAAAGGUUACUGUCACUUAUUUUUUUAGUUAACAAAAAUACAUAGUGAAUAAAUUAAAAUGGAAUUUGGGGUAGGUGGCUAUACAAUCAUUUGCAUGUAUUCAGGUAUCUUGGUGAUCUAGUCAGGGUGUCAAUGCCCUCUAUCCAAAGACCACUAGGAACACACUUGUAUUUGAACAAGUUGUGAUUAUUGCUCCUUGAAGCAAAGGAGAAGACACACCGUGAAAAACCGUGGGCCAUCAAAGCAACAGUGUGUUAGAAAGGACUGGUUAUAAAAUUUGGGUAUGUGUUAGGUAAUUUUGGGAAAUAUUUCAAGAAGCACACUUUGCUCUGGACGAAAUGCUAUCAGGAAGCAGGAGUAAUAUUAUGACUGCAUAUUUGAAUAAAUCUUAGCUAGGAGGGCGGUAGACUAGAACAAUUUUUUUUUUUUAGGCGGAAUCUCACUGUGUCGUCCAGGCUGGAGUGCAGUGGCACAAUCUCAGCUCACUGCAACCUCCACUUCUCAGGUUCAAGCGAUUCUCCUGCCUCAGCACCCCAAGUAGCUGGGACUAUAGGCACGUGACACCACGCCCAGCUAAUUUUUUUUUUGUAUUUUUAGUAGAGACAGGGUUUCAUUGUGUUAGCCAGGAUGGUCUCGAUCUCCUGACCUUGUGAUCUGCCCGCCUGAGCCUCCCAAAGUGCUGGGAUUACAGGUGUCAGCCACCACGCCCAGCCCAGAACAAUUUUAAAACUGUAGUUAGUAAAGCAACAGUCACUCACACUAGUUAUGAGUGGGGGAAUAGUUGGUCCUUUGUGGCAGAGGCAAUGGCCACGUGUUGUCUGUGUUCAGAUAUGAUUAUGGAAUGUUUUUGUCUUGACCCGUCAGAUCAUAGAAUGGCCUUAUCUGAUGUUGAUAUUUUGUGAAAUUGUUUAUGUUUAACAGAACACCAAGGCACAUCUCUGAAUAGAAGGCCAGCUCAUAUCAGCAACAAGGCCCAGCUGAUAGAAAAAGGCCAGAUCCUGGAUAUCAGGGCAUGCUUUCUUUCUCAAAGGCACAAACAUAGUGGUACAGAUUGCAAAACAGCUCAUUCAAAUCCAUUUCAUUUUAUGAAACGACAUGUGUUUUUUGAAACAAAAGUCAUUAACUGAUAUGGUUUCACUGUGUCUCCACCCAAAUCUUACCUUGAAUUGUAGGUCACAUAAUGCCCAUGUGUUGUGGGAGGGACCCAGUGGGAGGUAAUUGAAUUAUAGGGGAUGUUACCCUCAUGCUGCAGUUCUUGUGAUGGUGAGUGACUUCUCACAACAGCUGAUGGUUUUAUAAGGGGCUUUUCCCCCUUUUGCUUGGCACUUCUCCUUCCUGUUGCUAUGAGAAGGACGUGUUUGCUUCCCUUUCCAUCAUGAUGUUGGCCAAGGUACGUGGAACCACACAAUAUCACAGAAGACUGAAACAAUAAGACAACUCCAAACUCUGUCCAGAAGAACUGGGCAAAGGGUUCUCUGGGAGCCAGAAAGUGUGAGAGAAAUCCUGGAUUAUGGUAUUAAAUCAAGCAAAGUUGCAAAAAGUAACUGCCUCAAACUUCAGGGAAGCUCUGAAGACUACAAUUCAUAGCUCAGCAUUUUACCCAUCAAUGGGGUAGAGGAGACAAAUAAUUUACUUUCCUGCACCUUUUAGUUAUAAAAACAUGACUGCACCCAAAAAGAUAUAUAUUUCCAAGGACUUCUGACGCUUUCAGUGUGUAGGAAAAGUGGGUUCCAGAAGCCUGAGGGCAUUCCUCCAAAAAGAGAUGCAGAUGCUAGCAGUAGGGACAGAAAACACACUGGGUACCAGACUGUAAGAAAAUGAUAAAGGAAUCAAGAGAAGAUGUCAGUGGAAUAGUAAUAUUUGCUACACUCCCAUAGCUUUAUCUGUUUGGCUUGAACUAAUUCUUGCCCAAAUAUUUUCCUAAAUGAACAAGAAAGCAUUACACUUACCUAGAGAAUUCAGUUGUACCAGACAUCUCUUUUUCCCUUAAAGUUGAAGAAACUACAGCCAUAUAUAUACAUAUGUACACACACACACACACACACCUAUAUCUAUAUCUAUUACAGCCAUAUUUAGAGAACACAUUUAAUUGCCUUGAUGAAAAUUAAAUGUGUGGGAUUGGGUGCAGUGGCUCACACCUGUAAUCCUAGCAUUCUGGGACGCCGAGGCAGAUGAAUUUCUUGAGCCCAGGAAUUUGAGGCCAGCCUGGGCAACAUGGUGAAACCCUGUCUCUACAAACAGUACAAAAAAUUCGCUAGGCAUAGUUAUGCGUACCUGUAGUCCCAGCUACCAUAGGGCCUGAGGUGGGAGGAUCACUUGAGGCAGGGAGGUCGAGUCUGCAAUGAGCCAUGAUUGUGCAACUGCACUCUAGCCUGGGUGGCAGAGUGAGAUCCUGUCUCACAAAAAAGAAAAUGGAAGAAAAUGUAUAAAUUUGAAGUGCAUAUUUAUACGUUAUUGAAAAAUUGAUAAACCUAUCUGAGCUGGAUUGGUGACUUUGGAGAAAGAAAUGGAAUCUUCCAAUUUAGGUCUGAGCCAGGACUCAGCUAUGAUGGAUGCUGUAUGUGC